rnacentral:rRNA from 1 species
CCUACGGGUGGCAGCAGUGAGGAAUAUUGGUCAAUGGACGAGAGUCUGAACCAGCCAAGUAGCGUGAAGGAUGACUGCCCUAUGGGUUGUAAACUUCUUUUAUAUGGGAAUAAAAUGUUCCACGUGUGGGAUUUUGUAUGUACCAUAUGAAUAAGGAUCGGCUAACUCCGUGCCAGCAGCCGCGGUAUUCCGGAGGGUGCGAGCGUUAACCGGAUUGCUUGGGCUUAAAGGGCUCGUAGCCGGUAUGUCAAGUCAAGGGUGAAAUCCCCGGGCUCAAGGGGGGAACUGCCUUUGAAACUGGCAAACGGGAGUGUGUGAGAGGAGAGUGGAAUUCCAGGUGUAGGAGUGAAAGCCGUAGAUAUCUGGAGGAACAUCAGUGGCGAAGGCGACUAUCUGGCACAUAACUGACGCUGAGGAGCGAAAGCGUGGGUAGCAAACAGGAUUAGAUACCCCUGUAGUC